CUUCAUUCCUGCUCCUGCCUCCUGACGAACCUGGUGCUUCCUCAUGUGGUUCUGUGUGGCAUGACAUGUCCCCUUCUCCUGGGAAAUAAAAGAGAAAAGAACCACCUGAGUAAAGGAAAUCUGCAACUUGAACUCACUAAAUAAGUUGCUUUGAUUUUGGAUUCAGAGGGAAAAUGCACAGAUGUGUUAUAUGGGUAAAUCUCAUGUUGUAGGGGUUUGAUAUUCAGAUUAUUUCACCACCCAGGUAAUAAGCAUGGUACCCAAUAGGUAAGUUUUCUGUUCCCACCCUCUUCCCACCCUCAAGUAGGCCCUGGAAUCUAUUGUUCUGUUCUUUGUGUCCAUGUGUACUCAGGGUUUAGUUCCCACUUAUAAGUGAGAACAUGCAGUGUUUUGUUUUCUGUUCCUGCAUUAGUUUGCUUAGGAUAAUGGCCUCCAGCUCCAUACAUGUUGCUGCAAAGAACAUGAUCUCACUCUUGUUUAUGGCUGUAUAAUAUUCCAUGUUGUAUAGGUACCACAUUUGCCUUAUUCUGUCCACUAUUGAUGAUGAUUUAGAUUGAUUCCAUGUAUAUGUUAUUGUAAACAGUGCUGUGAUGAACACAUAUGUGCCUUUGUCUUUAAUAGUAGAAUUAUUUCUAUUCCUUUGGGUAUAUCCCCUGUAAUCCGAUUGCUGAGUCAAAUGGUAGUUCUAUUUUAAGUUUUCCAAGGAAUCUCCAAACUGCUUUCCACAGUGGCUGAACUAAUUCAUAUUACCACUAGUGGUAUGUAAAUGUUCCCUGUUCUCCACAACCUCACCAUCAUCUGAUUUUUUUUUUUACUUUUUAAUAAUAGCCAUUCUGACUGGUAUGAGAUGGUAUCUCAUUAUGAUUUUUAUUUGUAUUUCUGUAAUGAUUAAUGUUGAGCAUUUUUUCAUAUGCUUGUUAGGCCACGUGUAUGUCUUGUUUUGAGAGGUGUCUGUUUAUGUCCUUUGCCCAAUUUUUAAUACUAUUCUUUUUUGCUUGUUAAUUUGUUUAAGUUCCUUAUAGAUUCUGGAUAUUAGACCUCUGUUGAAUGCUAGUUUACAGAUAUUUUCUUACCUCCUGCAGGUUGUCUGUUUACUCUGCUGACAGUUUCAUUUGCUAUGCAGAAGCUCUUUAGUUUAAUUAGGUUCCAUUUGCCAAUUUUCAUUUUUGUUACCAUUGCUUUUAGGGACUUAGUCAUAAUUUAUUUGCCAAGUCUAAUGUCCAGAAUGGUAAUUCCUCUGUUUCUUUCCAGUGUUUUUUUAUAGUUUUAGAUUUCACAUUUAAGUCAUUAAUCCAUCCUGAGUUGAUUUUUGUAUAUGGUGAAGGGAAGGGGUCCAGUUUUAGUCUUCUGCAUAUAGCUAGCACCGUUUACUGAAUGGGAAUCUUUUCCUCACUGCUUGUUUUUGUCAACUUUAUCAAAGAUCAGAUGGUUAUAGGUGUAUGGCUUUGUAUCUGGGAUCUCUAACCUGCUCCAUUGGUCUAUGUGUCUGUUUUCCUACCAGUACCAUACUGUUUUGGUUACUGCAGCCUUGUAAUAUACUUCGAAGUUGGGUAGUAUGAUGCUUCUGGCUUUCUUCUUUUUGCUUAGGAUUGCUUAUGCUAUUCAGUGUCUUUUUCAGUUCCAUGUGACUUUUAGUAUAGUUUUUUCUAAUAUUCAAUUACUUUGAAUGUUGUUCAUAAUAUGCAGUAAGGCUAAAAAAUAAGUUUCAAAGUGGAAUGUAUGGUAUGAUCUGAGUUUUAAAUAGUAUAUAAAAUAUAAAUUCAUAUAUAAGGGGCAAAAAAUGUAGGGUAAAAAAAGAUAUGAAAAUACCCAAAUGGUAACAAAAUCACAGGCAAUCUUUACUAUGCCUGCUCAUUUUUCUAUAAUAUGUGUGUGUGUAUAUAUAUGCAUACAUAUAUCACUUUCAUAAAAAGUUUUUUAAUAAAAAGUUACCUUUAGAAUAGUGAGAACUUACUUUAUUUUGUAACCUACUUUAAAAUUAGCAUAUUUUAAUUUUAUUGGCAGUGUUUCAUUUAUCAACACCAAGCAAGGAAAUCUACAUCAAGGAAAUAACAAAAGUCAUUUGCUAGUUACCAAAAAUUACACUAUUACUUUGAGAAACUCCUUAUUUAUUUGUUUGUUUUUAGAGAUAAUGUCUUAGUCUGUCUCUCAGGCUGCAGUGCAGUGGUGCGAUCAUAGCUCACUGCAGCCUUGAACUCCUGAGCUAAAGCAAUCCUCCAGCCUCUGCCACCCCAGUAGUUAGGAUUACAGGAAUGUGAGAAUGGCCUAAUGCAGAAAAUUGGUUCCAAGAAAUGGGGCAUUACCACGAAGAUAUUAGAAAAUGUGAAAGCAGCUUUGGAACUGUGGAACAGGCAGAGGUUGGAAGAGUGCCAAGAGCUCAGAAGCUAGGAAGAUCAGGGAAAGUUUGGAACUUUUUAGAGACUGCUUAAAUGGUUAUGACCAAAAUGCUGAUAGUGAUAUAGAUAAUGUAGGCCAGGCUGAUGAGAUCUCACAUGGAAAUGAGGAACUUAUUGGGAACUGGAGCAAAGGUCACAUGUGUUAUGCCUUAGCAAAGACCCUGGCUGCAUCGUGUUCAUGCCCCAGGAAUCUGUGGAAGUUUGAACCUAAGAACAAUGACCUAGGGUAUCUGGUAGAAGAAAUUUCUAAGCAGCAAAGUGUUUAAGAUGUGGUGUGGGUGUUUCUAACACACUCUACUCAUCUGCAGGAGUAAAGAAAUGAGUUAAAGUUGGAACUUAUAUUUAAAAGAGAAGCAGAGUGUAGACGUUUAAAAAAUUUGCAGCCUGGCCAUGUGGUAGAGAAAGAAACAGCUUUCUAGGGAGAGGAAUUCAAGCAGGAUAUGCAGCCACCACUUGCUGGAGAAAUUUGCAUAACUAAAAAAAGGCAACUGCUAAUAGGCAAGACAAUGGGAAAAAGGCCUUGAAGUCAUUUCAGAGAUCUAAGAGGCAGCCCCCUCAUCAUAGGCCUUGAGGCCUAAGAGGACAGCAUGGUUUCCUGGGUCAGGCCCAGGGCCCACUGCUCUGCACAUCUUUGGGACACUGUCCCAUUCAUGCUGCUGUUCCAGCACCAGCCCUGGCUCAAAAGGGCAGAGGUACACCUCUGGUCACUGCUUAUUUGGGUUGCCAGAGGGUCAUGAGCAAUGGUAAGUUGUACGUUUCCUGAGGCCUCCUUAGAAGCUGAGCAGAUGCUAGUAUCAUGCUUCCUGUACAGCCAGCAGAACCAUAAGCCAAUUAAGCCUCUUCUCUGUAUAAAUUGCCCGGUCUUGGGUAUUUCUUUAUAGCAAUGUGAGAAUAGCGUAAUACAUCUAGCUAAUUUUUUAAAACAAAUUUUUUAUAGAGAUAGGGUUUGUGUUGUCCAGGCUGAUCUCAAACGCCUGGCCUCAAGCUGUUUUCCUGCCUCAGUGUCCCAACAUGGUGAGAUCAUAGGUGUGAGCCACUACACCUGCGGAUAAACUUAUCACAAUAAAAAUUUGAUAUGAAUUGUAAAAUAAAUUAAGUAGAAAAUUUAAAAAACCUUUUUCUAAAUGAAGAGAAAAUGGGUACAUAUAAUUCUUUUUUUACCCACAUUAAUAAUUUUACAGUAACCAAGAAUUGGCUGCUAAAUGUCUGAAUGUUUCUUUAUAUGAUUUCCUAAAAUGUUGUUUUAAAUAUAUAGGCAAAAUUUGUUCUUGCUACACACCUUUUUUGCUAUAUAAGUAUACAUUUCAGGAAGGAAAUUAGAGUUUCAACCAAAUUCAAUAGUUUUUCUCCUUCUCUUUCUUCUUGCUAACUUCAUUAUAAAACCUAAGUUAAUACUAUAUUUUAGCAUUGUGGAGAAACACCAAAUCCACAAAAUUUAGCCUGUCUAUAUAUGCCUUAACAAAAUCAAAUAAAACUUAACAUAUGAACUGUGAUUUCUUUUAAAACAGAUGUAGUGAAAUGGUUAUAUAUCUUUCUUAGGCUAUGUUGGAAAAAGUGCUGGAAUUAAAUUCAGAUACUGGAAUUAAGACUCUUCAAGACCCUUCAUUACCAUAAUCACUUUGACUUCUGAGAUUUAAGAUGUAAUGACUGACCUGCUAGAAUUUGAACUUGUGUGGGGCCUGUAGCCCUCUCUUUUGGCUGAUUUCUCCCUUUUGAAAUGGGAAUGUUUAUACCCCCAUUGUAUCUUGGAAAUAAGUAACUUGUAUCAGAAUAAAUACUCAAUAUUUAUAAAAUAAAUGGAUAACAUAUUAAUGUACCCAACAUAAUUGACAUUUACUACUCAACAUAAAAUUAUAUUUAAGCUGAGAUGGGGAGGAUGAGGAGCCAUACCUAUAGAACGUGCCACAGAACAAUCUAAGUAGAGGGAAAAGAAAUCAUAGUUAAAAUUGGAACACACUCUGGGUAUGAAGAACUGAAAGGAGGCUAGGGUGGCCAGAGGGUUGUGAGCAAGAACCAAAUGCUGUGAGACAGAAGGAAAAUUAGGCAACUGUCAGAUCAUCUAGAGUCUAAUAUAACUGGUGCAAAGACUUUAGAUAUUUACAUAUAACAGGAAGCCAAGAAAAGGUUUUAAGCAAGGAAGUUAACUUGUCAGAUAUAUGUUGUUUAAAGAAAUGUAUACUGCCUAUUAUGUGAAAUAAUCUAGGAGAGCUAAAAAUGGGAAUAGUUAACAUACUUUGACAGUGAGUUGGUCUAGGAUAGUGCGAAGAGCUGGUGGGAAGAUAGUGAGGAUAAUGGGAAGAGCUUGAGAUACAUUUUGAAGGUAGAACCAAUAGGACUUGCUGAUAUGUUAAAUGUGAGAUAUGUGACAAAGAAAGGAAUCUAGGGUCUCUUUUGGACAGGAACCAGCUGAUUCAGAAAUGCUGAGAUGGGAAGAACAGGAAGAAGAGCAUGGAGGUGGGAUUCACUCUGCUAACUUCAAGAAUAUGAGAUAGAGGCCAGGCGCGGUGGCU
rnacentral:lncRNA from 1 species